GUGCCUUAUAUUCAUUAAUCCUUGAUUAAGUCAGCCCUAAAAUACCUACCCUUUUACUUUCUUAUUUUGUAUCUUGGAUUAUAUCUUUAAUUUUAAAACAAAACUAUCAAGUUAGUAAAUAGCUGUAAAAAUGACAAAGAAAAUCAGUGAAUACCAGUAAUCACUGAAACAACUGGUAAAUACACGUAAUUACUAAAUUGGCU
rnacentral:lncRNA from 1 species